GGCGGCAUAGCCAAGUGGUAAGGUAGAGGUCUGCAAAACCCCAAUCCCCAGUUCGAACCUGGGUGCCGCCU
rnacentral:tRNA from 2 species